rnacentral:tRNA from 2 species
GGGCGGCUAGCUCAGUUGGUUAGAGCGCACGGUUCACAUCCGUGAGGUCACAAGUUCAAGUCUUGUGCCGCCCA